rnacentral:rRNA from 1 species
AAUAAGCGGAGGAAAAGAAACCAACAGGGAUUGCCUUAGUAGCGGCGAGUGAAGCGGCAAUAGCUCAAAUUUGAAAUCUGGCACUUUCAGUGUCCGAGUUGUAAUUUGAAGAAGGUAUCUUUGGGUCUAGCUCUUGUCUAUGUUUCUUGGAACAGAACGUCACAGAGGGUGAGAAUCCCGUGCGAUGAGAUGUCUAGAUCUAUGUAAAGUUCCUUCGAAGAGUCGAGUUGUUUGGGAAUGCAGCUCUAAGUGGGUGGUAAAUUCCAUCUAAAGCUAAAUAUUGGCGAGAGACCGAUAGCGAACAAGUACAGUGAUGGAAAGAUGAAAAGAACUUUGAAAAGAGAGUGAAAAAGUACGUGAAAUUGUUGAAAGGGAAGGGCUUGAGAUCAGACUUGGUAUUUUGUAUGUUACUCUCUCGGGGGUGGCCUCUACAGUUUACCGGGCCAGCAUCAGUUUGAGCGGUAGGAGAAUUGCGUAGGAAUGUGGCUCGGCCUCGGUCGAGUGUUAUAGCCUUCGUCGAUACUGCCAGCUUAGACUGAGGACUGCGGCUUCGGCCUAGGAUGUUGGCAUAAUGAUCUUAAGUCGCCCGUCUUGAACACCCGGACCAAA